CGUAUCGUAUUGUAUCGUAUAGUAUAGUACAGUACAGUACAGUACAGUACAAUACAGUGUAGUAUAGUAUAGCGUAGUAAAGUAUAGUACUUGUAGCUUAGAGGACUAGAGCACGUGGCUACGAACCACAGUGUUGGGGGUUCGAAUCCCUCCUCGCCCAC
rnacentral:sRNA from 1 species